rnacentral:tRNA from 1 species
AUUAUAUAGUUUAAAUAAAAACAUAAUAUUUGUAAUAUUAAGAUAAUUAUUUUUAUAAUAAA